rnacentral:rRNA from 1 species
UGCAAGUCGAACGGCAGCACAGAAGAGCUUGCUCUUUGGGUGGCGAGUGGCGGACGGGUGAGUAAUGUCUGGGAAACUGCCCGAUGGAGGGGGAUAACUACUGGAAACGGUAGCAAAUACCGCAUAACGUCGCAAGACCAAAGUGGGGGACCUUCGGGCCUCACACCAUCGGAUGUGCCCAGAUGGGAUUAGCUAGUAGGUGGGGUAAUGGCUCACCUAGGCGACGAUCCCUAGCUGGUCUGAGAGGAUGACCAGCCACACUGGAACUGAGACACGGUCCAGACUCCUACGGGAGGCAGCAGUGGGGAAUAUUGCACAAUGGGCGCAAGCCUGAUGCAGCCAUGCCGCGUGUAUGAAGAAGGCCUUCGGGUUGUAAAGUACUUUCAGCGGGGAGGAAGGCGGUGAGGUUAAUAACCUCGCCGAUUGA